rnacentral:rRNA from 1 species
UACGGAGGGAGCUAGCGUUGUUCGGAAUUACUGGGCGUAAAGCGCACGUAGGCGGCUUUGUAAGUUAGAGGUGAAAGCCCGGGGCUCAACUCCGGAACUGCCUUUAAGACUGCAUCGCUUGAAUCCAGGAGAGGUGAGUGGAAUUCCGAGUGUAGAGGUGAAAUUCGUAGAUAUUCGGAAGAACACCAGUGGCGAAGGCGGCUCGCUGGAACGGUACUGACGCUGAGGCGCGAAAGCGUGGGGAGCAACAGG